rnacentral:rRNA from 1 species
AUUGAACGCUGGCGGCAGGCCUAACACAUGCAAGUCGAACGAGUGGCGGACGGGUGAGUACUGUCUAGGAAUCUGCCCGAUGGUGGGGGAUAACGACUGGAAACGGACGCUAAUACCGCAUACCAUCGGAUGUGCCUAGGUCGGAUUAGCUAGUUGGUGGGGUAACGGCUUACCAAGGCGACGAUCCCUAGCUGGUCUGAGAGGAUGACCAGCAACACUGGAACUGAGACACGGUCCAGACGCCUACGGGAGGAAGCAGUGGGGAAUAUUGGACAAUGGGCGCAAGCCUGAUGCAGCCAUGCCGCGUGUGUGAAGAAGGUCUUCGGGUUGUAAAGCACUUUCAGCUGGGAGGCGUUACCCGCAGAAUAAGCACCGGCUAACUACGUGCCAGCAGCCGCGGUAAUUC